GACGGAGGAGGCAAGCGUUGUUCGGAAUCACUGGGCUUAAAGCGCGUGUAGGCGGGGCGGUAAGUACCCUGUGAAAUCCCCGGGCUCCACCCGGGAAUGGCUCGGUAUACUGCCGUCCUUGAGGCAGAUAGGGGCGACUGGAACCUUAGGUGGAGCGGUGAAAUGCGUAGAUAUCUAAGGGAACGCCGGUGGCGAAAGCGGGUCGCUGGGUCUGUCCUGACGCUGAGACGCGAAAGCGUAGGGAGCAAACGGG
rnacentral:rRNA from 1 species